CCUACGGGGGGCAGCAGUGAGGAAUAUUGGUCAAUGGACGAGAGUCUGAACCAGCCAAGUAGCGUGAAGGAUGACUGCCCUAUGGGUUGUAAACUUCUUUUAUAUGGGAAUAAAAUGUUCCACGUGUGGGAUUUUGUAUGUACCAUAUGAAUAAGGAUCGGCUAACUCCGUGCCAGCAGCCGCGGUAAUACGGAGGAUCCGAGCGUUAUCCGGAUUUAUUGGGUUUAAAGGGAGCGUAGGUGGAUUGUUAAGUCAGUUGUGAAAGUUUGCGGCUCAACCGUAAAAUUGCAGUUGAAACUGGCAGUCUUGAGUACAGGAGAGGUGGGCGGAAUUCGUGGUGUAGCGGUGAAAUGCUUAGAUAUCACGAAGAACUCCGAUUGCGAAGGCAGUUCACUGGACUGCAACUGACACUGAGGCUCGAAAGUGUGGGUAUCAAACAGGAUUAGAUACCCCUGUAGUC
rnacentral:rRNA from 1 species